rnacentral:tmRNA from 1 species
GGGGGUGAUCGGUUUCGACUUCGUCUGUUGAGAUGGGAGAAGCGGGCCGAGGAUGCUGGUCAUCUCGUCAACGAUCCAGCGCCUAAAUACAAGUGCCAACACUCAGCGCACUGACUUCGCCCUCGCUGCCUAAGCGAGCCUGAAGUCCGUCAGCCCGGGGGCGUUCCCGCCCCGGAUCCUGGCGUCAGCUAGGGAACUCACCGCGUAGCCCGGUCACGGGGCUGCUCGGGACAUCACACAGUGACUGAGCCCGUCGGGAGCUUGUCCGCGUGACUCCCGGGGCCGAGAAAAGCACAGCGGACUGCGCCCGGAGAAGGCCCUGAUCACCAACGAAGGACGCGGGUUCGAUUCCCGCCACCUCCACCC